rnacentral:rRNA from 1 species
CGCGUAGGCGGCCGAGCAAGUCAGUAGUGGAAGUCCAAUUUUCAAGGUUGGAAGUGCUAUUGAAACUGCAGGGCUUGAGUGCAGGAGAGGUUAUCGGAAUUCCCGGUGUAGCGGUGAAAUGCGUAGAGAUCGGGAGGAACACCAGUGGCGAAGGCGGGUAACUGGACUGCAACUGACGCUGAGGCGCGAAAGUGUGGGGAGCAAACAG